rnacentral:rRNA from 1 species
UACGAAGGGGGCUAGCGUUGUUCGGAAUCACUGGGCGUAAAGGGCGCGUAGGCGGCUUUGUAAGUCGGGGGUGAAAGCCUGUGGCUCAACCACAGAAUUGCCUUCGAUACUGCAUGGCUUGAGACCGGAAGAGGUUAGUGGAACUGCGAGUGUAGAGGUGAAAUUCGUAGAUAUUCGCAAGAACACCAGUGGCGAAGGCGGCUGACUGGUCCGGUUCUGACGCUGAGGCGCGAAAGCGUGGGGAGCAAACAGG